UACAGAGGGUGCGAGCGUUGUCCGGAAUCACUGGGCGUAAAGGGCGCGUAGGCGGUCUGGUAAGCGUGUGGUGAAAGCCCGGGGCUCAACCCCGGGUCGGCCGUGCGAACUGCUGGACUGGAGCAGAUCAGAGGCAGGCGGAAUUCCGGGUGUAGCGGUGGAAUGCGUAGAGAUCCGGAAGAACACCGGUGGCGAAGGCGGCUUGCUGGGCCGGACCUGACGCUGAGACGCGAAGGCGUGGGGAGCGAACGGG
rnacentral:rRNA from 1 species